rnacentral:rRNA from 1 species
UACGUAGGGUGCGAGCGUUUGUCCGGAAUUAUUGGGCGUAAAGGGCUCGUAGGCGGUUUGUCGCGUCGGGAGUGAAAUCACUGGGCUUAACCGAGUGCUUGCUUUCGAUACGGGCAGACUUGAGGCAUUCAGGGGAGAACGGAAUUCCUGGUGUAGCGGUGAAAUGCGCAGAUAUCAGGAGGAACACCGGUGGCGAAGGCGGAUCUCUGGGCCUUACCUGACGCUCAGGUGCGAAAGCUAGGGGAGCGAACAGG